rnacentral:rRNA from 1 species
CGCUGAAUUUAAGCAUAUUAUUAAGCGGAGGAAAAGAAACUAACUAGGAUUGGUCCAGUAACGGCGAGUGAAGCGCCAGUAGCCCAUGUUGUGAAUCGGCACUUGUGUUGAAUUGUGGAAUGCCGGUUGGUUUGUCAAGUUUGUGGACGAAGUCCCCUGGAAUGGGGCAGCAUAGAGGGUGAGACUCCCGUCCGUCCGUAGUCGUGAGAACCUGCCAAAGAGUCGAGUUGUUUGGGAUUGCAGCUCUAAGUGGGUGGUAAAUUCCAUCCAAGGCUAAAUACCGGUGGGAGACCGAUAGCAGACAAGUACCGUGAGGGAAAGAUGCAAAGCCGCGCGAGAGCGCUGUCAAAGAGUACCUGAAAUUGCUGAAAAGGAAGCGAAGGAAACCAGUGUGAACCAUCCCGCAUUUCCCUGUCUGCUUGCAGGAAGGGCGCUGCGGCUGGUGUUGUCCUUGUCCUCGACUUGCAGCCAAAGAUGAUGUUGCUGCGCGUUGACUAUGUGGAC